GUGUUGUGUGAAAGGUUAGCACUCCCCUUGACAAGGAUGGAAGAGGCCCUUGGGCCUGACAACAUAACCACAUGUGUAU
ensembl:snRNA